rnacentral:lncRNA from 1 species
AGUCAUAUCUUGUAAGCUCUGAUUGGCCCGGAUUGGCCCAGAGGGCUGCUAUACGGCGUCCCUGAUUGGCUCAAAGUGUCGUUACCAAAUAUGACAAUAUGGCGAAAUUUGACAAUGUCCAGAAAGCCGUGUUGGCGCUUUUGACCUAAUAAGAGAGGACGUGUAUCCUCUGGACCGAUUGGAGUUGAUAGAAUGGCGAGUUCGACAAUGCGCCGUUAUGAAGAAACCGACACGAAAAUUUUGUGCCCUGCGUUUUUGUUUUUGUUUGACACGUGUUCGUCAUGACUGGGCGUCGGCGCACGCGAAUGUGUGAACAUACUGCGCUUCUGUACUCGAACGCGGCCAUCGGAUGUGCCCGGUCGAACGCAUCAGGCUAAAGUACCAAUUCUGGGCUACCCAGCAAUCCUGCGAGGCGGCGAAUUAAGAGGCAAGACCUCGACGUGCCCACGUGGGAGACCUAGGCCCAGCCAACUAAACUGCUGGUUUCAAUAAAAGUUUGUUCCUCCUC